GUGCUCGCUUCAACAGCACAUAUACUAAAAUUGGAACAAUACAGAGAAGAUUAACAUAGCUCCUGCACAAGAAUGAAAUACAAAAAAAUGAAUCAGUACCUACUAUG